rnacentral:rRNA from 1 species
AGAUUGAACGCUGGCGGCAGGCCUAACACAUGCAAGUCGAGCGGUAGAGGGGUGCUUGCAUCUCUUGAGAGCGGCGGACGGGUGAGUAAUGCCUAGGAAUCUGCCUAGUGGUGGGGGAUAACGUUCGGAAACGGACGCUAAUACCGCAUACGUCCUACGGGAGAAAGCGGGGGACCUUCGGGCCUCGCGCCAUUAGAUGAGCCUAGGUCGGAUUAGCUAGUUGGUGAGGUAAUGGCUCACCAAGGCGACGAUCCGUAACUGGGUCUGAGAGGAUGAUCAGUCACACUGGAACUGAGACACGGGUCCAGACUCCGUACGGGAGCAGCAGUGGGGGAAUAGUUGGACAAGUGGGGA